rnacentral:rRNA from 1 species
AUUGAACGCUGGCGGCAGGCCUAACACAUGCAAGUCGAGCGGAUGAAGGGAGCUUGCUCCUGGAUUCAGCGGCGGACGGGUGAGUAAUGCCUAGGAAUCUGCCUGGUAGUGGGGGAUAACGUCCGGAAACGGGCGCUAAUACCGCAUACGUCCUGAGGGAGAAAGUGGGGGAUCUUCGGACCUCACGCUAUCAGAUGAGCCUAGGUCGGAUUAGCUAGUUGGUGGGGUAAAGGCCUACCAAGGCGACGAUCCGUAACUGGUCUGAGAGGAUGAUCAGUCACACUGGAACUGAGACACGGUCCAGACUCCUACGGGAGGCAGCAGUGGGGAAUAUUGGACAAUGGGCGAAAGCCUGAUCCAGCCAUGCCGCGUGUGUGAAGAAGGUCUUCGGAUUGUAAAGCACUUUAAGUUGGGAGGAAGGGCAGUAAGUUAAUACCUUGCUGUUGUGACGGUACCAACAGAAUAAGCACCGGCUAACUUCG